rnacentral:tRNA from 1 species
ACUUAAAUAGCUUAAGGUUAGAGCGUAAUAUUGAAGAUAUUAAAGUAAUAAAAUUUAUUUUUAAGUA